GACGAACGCUGGCGGCGUGCUUAACACAUGCAAGUCGAACGGAAAGGCCCUGCUUUUGUGGGGUGCUCGAGUGGCGAACGGGUGAGUAACACGUGAGUAACCUGCCCUUGACUUUGGGAUAACUUCAGGAAACUGGGGCUACUACCGGAUAGGAGCUCAUGCUGCAUGGUGGGGGUUGGAAAGUUUCGGCGGUUGGGGAUGGACUCGCGGCUGAUCAGCUUGUUGGUGGGGUAGUGGCAUACCAAGGCUUUGAAGGGUAGCCGGCCUGAGAGGGUGACCGGCGACAUUGGGACUGAGAUACGGCCCAGACUCCUACGGGAGGCAGCAGUGGGGAAUAUGGCACAAUGGGCGGAAGCCUGAUGCAGCAACGCCGCGUGCGGGAUGACGGCCUUCGGGUUGUAAACCGCUUUCGCCUGUGACGAAGCGUGAGUGACGGUAAUGGGUAAAGAAGCACCGGCUAACUACGUG
rnacentral:rRNA from 1 species